rnacentral:rRNA from 1 species
GACGAACGCUGGCGGCGUGCUUAACACAUGCAAGUCGAACGGAAAGGCCCUGCUUUUGUGGGGUGCUCGAGUGGCGAACGGGUGAGUAACACGUGAGUAACCUGCCCUUGACUUUGGGAUAACUUCAGGAAACUGGGGCUAAUACCGGAUAGGAGCUCCUGCUGCAUGGUGGGGGUUGGAAAGUUUCGGCGGUUGGGGAUGGACUCGCGGCUUAUCAGCUUGUUGGUGGGGUAGUGGCUUACCAAGGCUUUGACGGGUAGCCGGCCUGAGAGGGUGACCGGCCACAUUGGGACUGAGAUACGGCCCAGACUCCUACGGGAGGCAGCAGUGGGGAGUAUUGCACAAUGGGCAAGCCUGAUGCAGCAACGCCGCGUGCGGGAUGACGGCCUUCGGGUUGUAAACCGCUUUCGCCUGUGACGAAGCGUGAGUGACGGUAAUGGGUAAAGAAGCACCGGCUAACUACGUG